rnacentral:rRNA from 1 species
AGUGAACGCUGGCGGCGUGCUUAACACAUGCAAGUCGAACGAUGAAGGCUCUAGCUUGCUAGAGUGGAUUAGUGGCGCACGGGUGAGUAAUGUAUAGCUAAUGUGCCCCUUAGAGGGGGAUAACAGUUGGAAACGACUGCUAAUACCCCAUACUCCUUCUUCCUAUAAGGGAAGUUGGGAAAGUUUUUUCGCUAAGGGAUCGGGCUAUACGGUAUCAGCUUGUUGGUGAGGUAAUGGCUCACCAAGGCUAUGACGCCUAUCUGGUCUGAGAGGAUGAUCAGACACACUGGAACUGAGACACGGUCCAGACUCCUACGGGAGGCAGCAGUGGGGAAUAUUACACAAUGGAGGAAACUCUGAUGUAGCAACGCCGCGUGGAGGAUGACACAUUUCGGUGCGUAAACUCCUUUUAUAUGGGAAGAUAAUGACGGUACCAUAUGAAUAAGCACCGGCUAACUCCGUGCCAGCAGCCGCGGUAAUACGGAGGGUGCAAGCGUUACUCGGAAUCACUGGGCGUAAAGCGCGCGCAGGCGGUCUUUUAAGUUGGAUGUGAAAUCCUAUGGCUCAACCAUAGAACUGCAUCCAAAACUG